UCUUUUAAACAAGUUUAUGGUGUCCCGGUUAGAACGGGACAGGAUAGGGAAGUCCGGUGAGAUACCGGCGCUGACGCGCAACUGUAAGCCUUUUAGGUAAGCCAGGAAACCUGCCGUAAACUAUUUUAUUAA
rnacentral:ncRNA from 2 species